rnacentral:tRNA from 1 species
GCCCCUAUAGCUCAGCUGGAUAGAGCAGCAGACUUCUAAUCUGCCGGUCGGAGGUUCGAAUCCUCCUGGGGGCG